rnacentral:lncRNA from 1 species
AUGCAGCUCCUAAGUCAGCAGUCCCCGGAGACGCUCAACAGACUUCUACACUUAGCCAGUGAUAAAUAACCGGGAGAACACGGGGCCUGGAAGGAUCCAGAUUUAAUUCAAAGAAUUUAAAAUCGAAUGUUGAAAGAGCGCUUUGCAUUCAUGAGGCGUGCUCACUUCCAGCUGGAGAAAGAAAAGGCUUUGUGUUUGGGGGAGAGGCAGGAGAGCUAACCUUUCUGCCAUGUGCCUGCCGCUUCCAACUGGCUCGCCGACAUUUUUCAUCUGCAAAUGGCAGGCGUCGUUUCUGGAAGCCGACACGAGGAGAGAUUUAUCAUCUCCGUGGACUUUCGGCUCCAGGUGGAAGGAUUUUCCUCCACGGCGAGGUUGCCGCCUAGCCAGCCCUGACGGGGAGGGGAAGGUCCUGCCCCUUCUCUGUGGACACCUCUCUGGUUUCCAGAUGGAAGUGCUCCCAGCAGAAGUCGUUGCCCGCUGCAGGCCCUGGGCUGUGUCCUGGAUGACAGUGCACGUGCUGCCGGCUCAGGGCCGCCUGGUCUCUGUCACAGAGAUCAGGACCCUGGCUGGGCCCCAAAGGACUGGAAUUGCAGCUCCUUCGAGCCUGAGAAUCCACAUUCAGUUUUGAAGGAUCUGUGCACCUGGGUGUACCAGGUUGAAUAACGUCCACCUGGCACCUUCGGAAUGACUAUCUGGAAAUAGGGCCUUUGCAGAUGUAACUAGGUAGGUUGAAAUGUGGCUAUACCGGAAUAGGGUGGGCCCCAAACCCGAUGACUUGUGUCCCAGAAGAAACACACGGAGAGAAUGCCACGUGACAAGGAAGCAGAGAUUGCAGUGAUGUGCCCGCAAGCCCAGGAACUAGGCGGAGAUUGCAGUGAUGUGCCGGCAAGCCCAGGAACUCCAGGAAUGGCUGGCCACAAACAGGGAGGAGGCAAGGACCAAUUCUACCCAGAGUCUAGAGGGAGCAAGGCCCUGACCACACCUCAGUUUGGGACGUCUGGUCUCCAGACCAUGAGAGCAUGACACGGAAAGCUCAUCCAUGUCAGGCUAGCAUUUUCCAGAUCCUGUUUUAAACAGCCACAGAAAACGAAUGAAGUGGUUCAUCAGAGCCACAGAUUGAUUGUCAGAGCUUUUCUUAGGUUGCGAAGCUGCAACAUGCUCCACCUCUCUGCUGUGUCCCUACUUGACAUGGUUUGGCUGUGUCCCCACCCAAAUCUCAUUUUGAAUUAUAGUUCCCAUAAUUCCCACGUGUCGUGGGAGGGACCCGGUGGGAGGUAAUUGAAUCAUGGGGGCCGGUCUUUCCUGUGCUGUUCUCGUGAUAGUGAAUAAGUCUCACGAGAUCUGAAGGUUUUAUAAAGGGGAGUUCCCCUACGCACGCUCUCUCUUGCCUGCCAUCAUGUAAGAUGUGACUUUCUCUUCCUUUGCCUUCUGCCAUGAUUGUGAGGCUUCCCCAGCCAUGUGGAACUGUGAGUCCAUUAAACCUCCUUUUCUUUUCUUUGUUUUCUUUUUUUUUUUUUUGAAAGAGUCUCUCUCUGUCACCCAGGCUGGGGUGCAGUGGCGUGAUAUCAGCUCACUGCAGCCUCUGCCUCCCGGGUUCAAGUGAUUCUCCUGCCUCAGCCUCCCAAGUGGCUGGGAUUACAGGGAUGAGCCACCAAGCCCAGCUAAUUUUUGUGUUUUUAGUAGAGGUGGGGUUUCACCAUGUUGGCCAGGCUGGUCUUGAACUCCUGAGCUCAGGUGAUCUGCCUUCCUCUGCCUCCCAAAGUGCUGGGAUUAUAGGCGUGAGCCACCACGCCCAGCCCCUUUUCUUUGUAAGUCAUCCAGUCUCAGGUAUGUCUUUACU